rnacentral:rRNA from 1 species
AUGAGGAUUUACACAGAGAGAUGUAGGUGGGAGGCAUGCACAUGCACGGAUAAUGGCGGCAGCAGUCGAGGUGCAUCUUCUUUGUGUGUUGCCUUCCAUGUCUUUCUAUCCAUAGCGAUAGCAUUUGCUUUGUGGAUGCCUCUCCUUGCAGUGCAAUCGCGAGGCUCCCCCAUGGCGCUUGGCGCGUCCAUGGCGUUGUACACAGUACACCAGCACAAAGAGCAUCUCCGGGCACUACUUCAUCUACUAGGAGACGGUCGGCGCCGGCGUCGGCUGGACGGUGGACAAGGAGACCAUCGACGCUUGAGAUGGAUGAUGGACUGA